AUUGAACGCUAGCGGGAUGCCUUACACAUGCAAGUCGAACGGAGGGGCGAACGGGUGAGUAAUGUAUCGGAACGUGACCAGUAGCGGGGGAUAAAUACGCGAAAGAGGAGCUAAUACCGCACACUAUUGGAGCGGUCGAGAUCGGAUUCGCUAGUUGGUGGGGUAACGGACAACAAAGGCGACGAUCCGUAGCUGGUUUGAGAGGACGACCAGCCACACUGGAACUGAGACACGGCCCAGACUCCUACGGGAGGCAGCAGUGGGGAAUAUUGGACAAUGGGGGAAAGCCUGGUCCAGCCAUCCCGCGUGUGCGAUGAAGGCCUUCGGGUUGUAAAGCACUUUUGGCAGGAAAGCGGUACCUGCAGAAUAAGCACCGGCUAACUACGUGCCAGCAGCCGCGGUAAUUC
rnacentral:rRNA from 1 species